UGUUGUAAUUUCUAGCCUUUUUGGCCAUGUCUUCAGCAGCACUCUUGAGCCAAUCUGGGUUGACACGGGAUUCUCUGCAAGAGCAAAUCAUAUCCGAUACAUGUUCCAUGAAGAAGAGAACCAAUCCAACAGACUCAGCAGCAGCCUACUGCCCAGUGUGUCCUCGUACUUUCUGAUAACAGCAUCUACAGAUUUACCAGCCUGUCUCAUGAAAAAAAAAUGCAAUUCAUCAUUACGCCACAUAUAGAGAGGCACAGUUCAGACAG